rnacentral:rRNA from 1 species
UACAGAGGUCUCAAGCGUUGUGCGGAUUCAUUGGGCGUAAAGGGUGCGUAGGCGGCGCGGUAAGUCGGGUGUGAAAUCUCGGAGCUUAACUCCGAAACUGCAUUCGAUACUGCCGUGCUUGAGGACUGGAGAGGAGACUGGAAUUUACGGUGUAGCGGUGAAAUGCGUAGAGAUCAUGAGGAAGACCAGUGGCGAAGGCGGGUCUCUGGACAGUUCCUGACACUGAGACACGAAGGCCAGGGGAGCAAACGGG